GACGAACGCUGGCGGCGUGCCUAAUACAUGCAAGUCGAGCGCUGAAGGUUGGUACUUGUACCAACUGGAUGAGCAGCGCACGGGUGAGUAACGCGUGGGGAAUCUGCCUUUGAGCGGGGGACAACAUUUGGAAACGAAUGCUAAUACCGCAUAAAAACUUUAAACACAAGUUUUAAGUGUGAAAGAUGCAAUUGCAUCACUCAAAGGUGAUCCCGCGUUGUAUUAGCUAGUUGGUGAGGUAAAGGCGCACCGAGGCGGUGUUACAUAGCCGACCUGAGAGGGUGAGCGGCCACAUUGGGACUGUGACCCGGCCCAAUGGCCCUGGGGUAGCAGCAGUAGGGAAUCUUCGGGCAUGGACGAAAGUCUGACCGAGCAACGCGGAGGGAGUGAAGAAGGUUUUCGGGUCGUAAAACUCUGUUGGUAGGGAAGAAAGUUGGCGCGAGUGGAACGCUCAGCAAGUGACGGUAACUACUCAGAAAGCGACGGCUAACUACGUG
rnacentral:rRNA from 1 species